AGGACAAACGCUGGCGGCGUGCCUAAGACAUGCAAGUCGGACGGGAGGCUUCGGCCUCUAGUGGCGGACGGGUGAGGAGCGCGUGGAGAACCUGCCCCGGGGUGGGGGAUACCCGCCAGAAAUGGCGGUUAAGACCGCAUACGAAUGCACCGUGCAGGCGGUGUAGGGAAAGCAGUGAUGUGCCCUGGGAGGGCUCCGCGUCGGAUUAGCUGGUUGGUGGGGUAACGGCCUACCAAGGCGACGAUCCGUAGCUGGUCUGAGAGGACGGCCAGCCACACUGGGACUGAGACACGGCCCAGACUCCUACGGGAGGCAGCAGUUAGGGAAUUUUGACAAUGGGCGCAAGCCUGAUCGAGUGACGCCGCGUGCGGGAUGACGCCGUUUCGGGUGUAAACCGCUUUUCCCAGGGACGAGGAGGGACGGUACCUGGGGAAGAAGUCUCGGCUAACUACGCGCCAGCAGCCGC
rnacentral:rRNA from 1 species